rnacentral:rRNA from 1 species
UACGAAGGGGGCUAGCGUUGUUCGGAAUCACUGGGCGUAAAGCGUACGUAGGCGGAUUGUUAAGUCAGGGGUGAAAGCCCGAGGCUCAACCUCGGAACUGCCUUUGAUACUGGCAAUCUUGAGUCCGGAAGAGGUGAGUGGAACUCCUAGUGUAGAGGUGAAAUUCGUAGAUAUUAGGAAGAACACCAGUGGCGAAGGCGGCUCACUGGCCCGGAACUGACGCUGAUGUACGAAAGCGUGGGGAGCAAACAGG